AUGGGCGGAUCUAGACAUAUGAUAUUGGUGUGGCAAAACUUUCAAAUCAACUAUAUAUAUUAACAAAGUAAAACAUUAAUACCUUAAAUGCUAUAGAUAAGUGGUUUGGGUGACUGCGUUUAACCUUGUUGUUACUAGUUCGAUUCCCAGCAACACCCUUUUUAGAUACAAAUAAUUUAAAAAAAAACAUCAAAAUAGCAACAUGCCAGGAAUCGAACUCAGCACAUUCACAAUUUAUCCAUCCGCACAAACCACUGAGCCAAGAAAGAAGUUCUGAUAUGUUUGUGAUUUAUAUUAUAUAUAUAAUAAUUUAAGUCAAGUAUAUUAAAAAAAAAAAAAGGGAAUAAUCUGGUGUGGCAACUGCCACACCAUGUUUCAGUGUGGAUCCGCCCCUG
rnacentral:lncRNA from 1 species